rnacentral:lncRNA from 1 species
CAAUACCCGUAGUAUUUUUCCUUGGAUUGAUGCCGAAGGGAAGGCUCCGGUAAGCCGGAGUGAUCGGAAAAAUACUUGUGGUAACGAUCUGCUAAGGGUGUUAAGUUGUAAGAAACAUGCAAAUGUAGCUGUGAAGGCUUCAAUUGGUAUCAUGCCAAGAAAAGUGUAAUCAUGUAAUAUUUAGUUAUUAAUUGUUAUCUUCAAUACGUUUCCUCACGGAACAAUCCGAAUUCUUCCACAAUUUGACAUGUAAUAAUGUUUUAUAAAUAAGUGACGAAAAAUUUCAUACACAAGUCUUUUAUCUAACUAAUUUAAU